UCUGUUUUUCCAAAUGACAAAUAAUGUGGUCAUAGACAGAGUAUCACUGCCUGGUUAUGAGGAUUGUGGAACUACUUUACAAGAUGAGCUGGUGACAGAAACUGAGAAAAUGAUCCUUCAGAGUGCAAAUGCAUAUUCAACAGUUGCUGUUGGAGAAAAUAGUCAAGUGAUCCUUAUCACCAGUACGUCAAUAUUGUGGAAGUGACUGAAGAGGAUGACAUAGAAGGGCCCAUUGUCUUCAGUGACAACUCUAAUGAUUCAUCAGGCGACAGUUUCCUUCUUGAAGACAUUCUUCAAAAUUUGGCUGAUGUAAUUAGUGAAGAAGAAAGCAGCAUUUUUAACAUUAACAGAUCUUCACUGUGGGAGGGAGCAGUACGUGGAUUUAAGAGAAAUACGUAUUCUCCUAACAA